UUAAAUGAUUGAUGUAAAAAACGUGCUUCUUUUGACACCAUCCCCCAACUACUGCUGUUACAUGACGAUAUUUAUGAGAAAAAACUGCUCUUGCCGCUGUCUUUAACUGCUCGAUAACCAAAUACAUAGUUGAUGGCUAAAGUCUAAAUAGACUAAACAAUUUGUAGCUUUCAAAUCCUGCAAAGUAUGGAGAUUAAGGGAACACAAUGUCCAUAAACUGUAGUAGCCAUAUUUGUUAUUAAAACAAAAUAUUACUCGAUUAAUUUGAAGUAAUAGAAGAUGCUAAAGGACUAUUUCAACACAACAAUUACAUUUUAAAAGAAAAUGCAAAAGCAUAUUUUUGCAUAAUUUGAAAUAUGUAAUUUUU